GACGAACCGAGCGAACGUUGUUCGGAAUCACUGGGCGUAAAGGGCGCGUAGGCGGCCUUGCAAGUCGGUUGGUGAAAGCCCGGGGCUCAACCCCGGAGGUGCGGCCGAGACUGCAGGGCUGGAGGCCGGAAGAGGAGGGUGGAAUACCCAGUGUAGAGGUGAAAUUCGUAGAUAUUGGGUGGAACACCGGUGGCGAAAGCGGCUCUCUGGUCCGGACCUGACGCUGAGGCGCGAAAGCGUGGGGAGCAAACAGG
rnacentral:rRNA from 1 species